CGGGGUAUGGGGUAGUGGUAGCCCGCGAGCAUGGGGUGUUUGUAGCGGCGGUUCGAUUCCGCCUACCCCGA
rnacentral:tRNA from 1 species